rnacentral:miRNA from 19 species
UUUUGCGAUGUGUUCCUAAUAU